rnacentral:rRNA from 1 species
GACGAACGCUGGCGGCGUGCUUAACACAUGCAAGUCGAACGGUGAAGCGCCUUCCUUUUUGGUGGGUGUGGAUGAGUGGCGAACGGGUGAGUAACACGUUAGUAACCUGACCCCUUCUUCUGGAUAACCGCAUGAAAGAGUGGCUAAUACGGGAUAUUCUGGGUCUGUCGCAUGAUUGGUCUGGGAAAGAUUUUGUUUCGGUGGUGGAUGGGGUCGCGGCCUAUCAGCUUGUUGGGGGGGUGAUGGCCUACCAAGGCGGUGACGGGUAGCCGGCCUGAGAGGGUCGGCGGUCACACUACGAAGGAGACGCGGAGACGACUCCGACGGGAGGCAGCAGGGAGGAAUACUGCACGAGGGGAGGCAGGAUGGUGCAGCGACGCCGGGGGAAUGAUGGUGUUCUUCUGGUUGUACACUUUUUUCGCGAGUGAAGCAGGCCUGACUCGUUUGUGCGUGGGUUGACGGUAGCUGGACAAGAAGCGACGGCUAACUACGUG